GCUGCCUCCUCUGACUGUGGUGGAGCAGCUCAGCAGGAUAAUAAGCUUACUCGCCUGACCUUGGGUCUCUCUCUCAUCCUUUCUCUUGGCUAACCUUCAUUUUGGUGCCAAAACCCAGGAAGGGGAUAGGCUCUGGCUGGGCGUCCUUAGAGGAUUCUCUCUCUCUCUCUCCUAUCAUCCCUUACCCAGCCAACCUCCCCUUCCCGAACCUGCUAAAGACCCUAAGGAUCUCCCAAAAUUCUCCCAUUGUUGGCCACCUCAUCCACCAUCAAAGCCUCUGAGAGGGAUGGGCAGACAAGCAUGCUCCUCAGAGCCACCAUCCCUUCAACAAGACAAAAAGUGAAGAAUCACUUGCACUCCCAUAGCUCCUUGGCCUAGCCACUGAAGACUGAUGAGGCCAGGGCCCCUGGGCCCCGGCUCCCGGCCCCCACUGCCAUCACUGCAUCGGAGCCCAGGGUAACUCUACUAGUAGCAGGUAAGCUGAUCUCUUUUUUAAUUGAUAGUGGGGCCACCUACUCAGCUUUGCCUGAGUUCUCAGGACCCACUCAUCCCUCUCAAGUCUCAGUUGUGGGGGUUGACGGACUCAUCUCUUGUCCGCUUGCCACCAGACCUCUUACUUGUUCCCUGUUUGAUGCCAUUUUCUCACACUCUUUCCUUAUCAUGCCUCAUUGCCCCACCCCCAUUCUA
rnacentral:lncRNA from 1 species